CUUAGUUAAUCGUAAAUUGUUGUAAUAUGCGUAUGACUUGCGAAUGUAAUGCUCAUUUAACUUAAAUAAACCAGGCUUGAUGACGUAUGCAGCCUGCAUAUGCGACCUCCGCAGGAUGCAGCCUUCCGUUUCAGAAACGGCCUACAAGUGUGAGCGUGCGCGAGAUUCUGUCUGAAUUGAUUCUUUAGUAAUGGCAAAGCAAAAAUUUACUGUCGUGGUGAUUAAACGCAUUUUAAAGUUUAAAUUAAAACGCCUAACUUACCUUUCCAGGGGUUUCUGUUCCUGCAGUCUUUCAGGGGUGCUGGCGCGUAUGACGAUGCGGACAUGAACAGCAUACUACAGUAUACCGCCACCUACUGUACUGUAGUACAAUAACGUGUAGGAUUGAAUACUGUGCCAAACGCAGUAAAAAAAAAAGCCAUUUAAUUCAUUGUAAAAACAAUGGACAUGCCAGUUCAAGUAACUUGUGGGCUAAAUCACCAAAAUAAGUUUGUAGAUGUGGUUCAAUUAUUUUUAAUGUGCAGCAUAAUGAAUCAGCCUGAAUGCAUGUAGCCUGUGAACAUAUUGUUUAGACUUUAUUUUUAAACCUUUAUCUGGUGUAUGGUUAAACCUUAUGAUGGUAGCAAUUGAAUACAAAUCUUAAACUGAAUCAAAUCUCUUAUAAUAAUACAUAAAAUCUCUGGGACGGUUGGGGGUACAUCAGGGUAACAUUUAAGCAGCUUAAUUUUUUUAAUUCUUUUAUAUAUUUUGAUGUGUAUAUAUAUAUAUUUACUUUCUUUAUUUUGUUUUCUCAGCUUUUAAACAUCUAAACAUGUCCUCCAAAAAGGUUUCCUGUGCUGUUUUGCUCCAUUUUACUGAACAAAAUAAGGCUGAGGUAGCACCAUCCUUGUGGUUAGAGUGAAAGAAUGUGGGUAUUGAGACCAAAAUAAACAAUGUGCCAUUCUGGACAAACAGCUGUGGACAAUAUGCAGUCAGAGUAGCCCAUUUUCUCACACAGACCUGAGGAUAAGAUUUCCAGUUUAAAAGUGAAGAAAAUGAAUCAUUAUUAACAGCAAAUAGGAGUAUUUCUCAGCUGAAAAGCCAGGUGAAACUAUAAGGUCACUAUGAUUCACUUUCAUAUUAUCAUUCUUUUCAGAUUUUUUUCCCUGUGUUUUUUUUGUUAGAUGAGGAGCAACCAGUAAGAAAAAGCAAAAAGAUGUUUUGAUGUUGCCUGAGGCACCUUAUUUUCCAUUUCAUGCACAAUCACAAAUGCAGCACAUCAAUCAAUUUCUUCCAACCAGCGAAUCAAGAAAUCUUGGAGUGGAGAAUCAUUUUGAAAGUAGACCAAAUCCAGGACAACAUCACAACAGUGGUCGGAAAAAUGCAGCAAGCCAAGCUGACUUUCAAAAGAUGAUUCGUUAUCUGUUUCUUCAGAGGGGAGGCAGUUUGGGAGAUGGGAAUUAGGAGGAUGCUACAGUUACACAGGGCAAAUUUCAGCAGCUCAGUUUCAAACUUGCAACUAACAUUGAGUUAAACUGGUCAGGGUGGAAGACCAGCUGACGUACCAGUUUUGCCAGGUUAAAGGACCAGCUUAAACCAGCUAAGACAGCCAACCAACUUAGCCAAGGUGGUAUAUGCUGGUGGGUCAGCUGGUCUUCCCGCCUGACCAGCUACAAAGUGUCCAAAACCUCUGUAAAACAAUCCUGCUACACCAGCCUGACCAGCUGAAACCAUACUGAGUUAGAAGACCACGGAAAUAUUUGACAUCGGAGUCCAGCAGACAGCCAGAGACACGCACACACACGCGGCUGAAGCGCGUUUGACUGACGCGUACGGGAGAUCCGGCACGCGCACGGGAGCUCGCGCACGCUCACACAAACACGGAGCACAGGAUAAUUACAACUGUUUAAUUAAAAUAAAAGAACUUUGUGGUAUACAAUGUUUAGCGUGUCUGAUUUCAUUGGUUAGCAAGGAAAUAAAACGACGUGCUGAGGACUUUAGGCGAACGUCCCCUAAAAGUCCCGAAAGUCCGCUGACCGUCCCGCGAACGUCCUCGCAAAAGUCCGGAGGACGUCCUCGCGGAAGUCCGCUCGACGUAACGGGAACCAUACACGAUGACGUUCGGGGGACGUUCGCCUAAAGUGCUUAGCAUGUUAUUUAGCUUACAAAAAAGGUCCCCAUGACGUCCCCUAAAAGUCAAUAAAGUCCCCAAAGCGUCAUUUUGAACGUCCGGAAGACGUUUUUGCGGACGUUCGCAGGACGUCAAAAGAACCCUACACGAUAACGUCCGGGGGACGUUCGCAGAUGCCAUUUAGGGGACGUCCUGGGGACCUUUUUUUGUUUGCUG